rnacentral:rRNA from 1 species
UACGGAGGGUGCAAGCGUUAAUCGGAAUUACUGGGCGUAAAGCGCACGCAGGCGGUUUUAUAAGUUAGAUGUGAAAGCCCCCGGCUCAACCUGGGAAUUGCGUUUGAAACUGUGCAGCUAGAGUAUUGGAGAGGGGGGUAGAAUUCCAGGUGUAGCGGUGAAAUGCGUAGAUAUCUGGAGGAAUACCGGUGGCGAAGGCGGCAUCCUGGACCAUAACUGACGCUGAGGCGCGAAAGCUAGGGGAGCAAACGGG